UACAGAGGGUGCGAGCGUUAAUCGGAAUUACUGGGCGUAAAGCGCACGUAGGCGGCUUGGUAUGUCGGGUGUGAAAUCCCCGGGCUCAACCUGGGAACUGCAUCCGAAACUGCCUUGCUAGAGUGAUGGAGAGGGAAGUGAAUUUCCGGUGUAGCGGUGAAAUGCGUAGAUAUCGGAAGGAACAUCAGUGGCGAAGGCGAACUUCCUGGACCAAUACUGACGCUCAGGUGCGAAAGCGUGGGGAGCAAACAGGG
rnacentral:rRNA from 1 species